CUGACCUCGUGAUCUACCCGCCUCAGCCUCCGAAAGUGCUGGGAUUAGAGGUGUGAGCCACCGUACCCAGCUGAGUUUCCAAAUAUUUCUGAUUUCACCAGCGGGGGAAGACUGGCAGGCUCCUAUAUCCUCGAAGUAUCCUGCCAUGAGAUGCCUGCAGAGUGGGGAAUGGCAUCACCUUUCCAACCCUGUGCAGCACCCAGUGCGAGCUGCUUAUUAGUGGGAACUGGAGAGGAAGAGGAGGAAAAGGAGGACCCAUGGCCAUGGCUUUUUCUGUCCUUGUAACCCUCAACUGAUAUGUAUCCCAUACUUCUUGGUUGGGCAGAGGGGAGAGCAGAGGUUGACAGGUCACAUUUCCCUCAGUUUUCCAUCCUUCCUUCAGUGCUGGGAGAGAAAAGCAUACGACAUAGACAGGGAGGUCAAGCUCCACCACGCAGAUGAGGUGCAGGCCACCAGUCUUCCUCUGCCACAUCUCUUUCUGAAAAGGACUUCACAUUCACCCUUGCAAUCCAUGUGGGGACACUGUUGGAUAGGAGGCGUGGUCCCAGCGUGGUCUCCCUGUCUGGGCCUCUGCCUAUGCCAAAUGUUUGCCUUACGCUGCACACUCAAGAGGUUCCAUGUAUACAGAUGGGAAUUCCAGAGCUACAGAAAAGGCAGCAAGCACCAUGAUUUAAGCUAACCAGUGUGGAUUCACACCUUCCUCUCUCUCUAUCAGUGGCAGAACUACCAGCUAGAGUAAGAAGUGGUUGAUCCAGGACCUAAACAUUCUGGAAACUCUUGCCCACUUCUGGGAGAAAUGACCCAAUCCAUAGUACUAAGCACACCUUAACUUUCGUAGGACGCAGGCAAGUUGUCAUACCGUGUGCCUAAAUAUAGAAAAAUGAUCCACUGGACUAAUAAAG
rnacentral:lncRNA from 1 species